CUUGGACCCAUGUAUGGCAAUACCUCAUACACUGAGAUUUCACCUUUGCACACAGAAAUCACCCUCCUCCACCCGAUGUAAACAUUUCAAUCUGAACCUGAUACUCCUUUCCUGUCAGCCCUCAGCCCAGAAGAACUCAGCAUCACCCACUCACACGUGCCCAGGAGCCUGGGAAAGCCAUGAGGCAUCACAGGGCUGAAACCAUGACAGCUCAUGAAACAGGGAGGGCUGCUGUCAACACUCAUGACCCAACGAGGCCAGGGACCCCAGAGUUUUCUGGAGGAUUGCAGAACCUGAGCACAGAGAGGCCAGAGUCAGAGCGACUCUACCUGCUGGAUGUGGUCAGGUGUCCAGAGUGGGGCAAAUCAAGAGUGUGACAUGCCACAAGCCUGCUGGACCCUCCAGGACAUUUGAUGGCCUCUCUUGUCAUUGAGCCAUGGAGAAAGGCUUAAUCCUAUAUCCUCAAAACACUAACAACCAAGGCUGAGUUACGCGGGCCUCUCACUGUUGUGGCCUCUCCCGUUGCGGAGCACAGGCUCUGGACGUGCAGGCUCAGUGGCCAUGGCUCACGGGCCUAGCCACUCCGCGGCAUGUGGGAUCUUCCCGGACUGCGGCACGAACCCGUGUCCCCUGCAUCAGCAGACGGACUCUCAACCACUGCGCCACCAGGGAAGCCCUGGCCUGUGCAUUUUGAA